AGCUGCGUGGCGAGCACAGAGCGAACUAUUCUUUCGCCUUUUACUAAAGAAUACCGUGUGCCCGCCACUUAUAGCAGCAUACGCUAAUUUUUGUAGGGUUUCCUUAUCUGAAGAGGGGA
rnacentral:snRNA from 1 species